AAUGAACGCUGGCGGCAUGCCUAACACAUGCAAGUCGAACGAGACCUUCGGGUCUAGUGGCGCACGGGUGCGUAACGCGUGGGAACCUGCCCUUAGGGUCGGAAUAACUCUCCGAAAGGGGUGCCAAUACCGGAUAAUGUCUUCGGACCAAAGAUUUAUCGCCUUUGGUGGGGCCCGCGUUGGAUUAGCUAGUUGGUAGGGUAAAAGCCUACCAAGGCGACGAUCCAUAGCUGGUCUGAGAGGAUGAUCAGCCACACUGGGACUGAGACACGGCCCAGACUCCUACGCGAGGCAGCAAUGGGGAAUAUUGGACAAUGGGCGAAAGCCUGAUCGAGCAAUGCCGCGUGAGUGAUGAAGGCCUUAGGGUUGUAAAGCUCUUUUACCCGGGAUGAUAAUGACAGUACCGGGAGAAUAAGCUCCGGCUAACUCCGUG
rnacentral:rRNA from 1 species